GAUGAAGAACGUAGCGAAAUGCGAUAAGUAAUGUGAAUUGCAGAAUUCAGUGAAUCAUCGAAUCUUUGAACACACAUUGCGCCCGCCAGUAUUCUGGCGGGCAUGCCUGUUCGAGCGUCAUUUCAACCAUCAAGCCCCAGGCUUGUGUUGGAGCCCUGCGGCUGCCGCAGCCUCCCAAAACCAGUGGCGGGCUCGCUAUCACACCGAGUGCAGUAGUUUACUCUUCGCUCAGGGCGUGUGGCGGGUGCUAGCCGUAAAACCCCCAACUUCUCAAGGUUGACCUCGGAUCAGGUAGGAAUACCCGCUGAACUUAAGCAUAUCAAUAAGCGGAGGA
rnacentral:misc_RNA from 1 species